rnacentral:rRNA from 1 species
AUUGAACGCUGGCGGCAUGCCUUACACAUGCAAGUCGAACGGCCGCACGGGUGCCUUCAUCUGGUGGUGAUUGGCGCACGGGUGAGUGUUACAUCUGGACAUGUCCUGUAUAGGGGUAUAGCCCGUCGAAAGCCGGAUUGAUACUGCAUACGAUCUACGUAUAAAAGCUGGUUCCCUUCUGGCCUCGCGUUUUGCUGUUGGUUGAUGGUUGAUUAGCUAGUUGGUGGGGUAAAGGCCUACCAAGGCGACGAUCAGUAGCUGGUCUGAGAGGACGACCAGCCACACUGGAACUGAGACACGGCCCAGACUCCUACGGGAGGCAGCAGUAGGGAAUUUUGGACAAUGGGCGAAAGCCUGAUCCAGCAAUGCCGCGUGUGUGAAGAAGGCCUUCGGGUUGUAAAGCACUUUUGUCCGGAAAGAACACAUUGGCCCUAAUCCGGUCGGGGGAUGACGGUACCGGAAGAGUAAGCCCCGGCUAACUACGUG